GACGAACCGUGCGAGCGUUGUUCGGAAUCACUGGGCUUAAAGGGCGCGUAGGCGGUCGAUCAAGUCAGGGGUGAAAUCCUCCGGCUCAACCGGAGAACUGCCUUUGAUACUGGUCAUCUCGAGUGAGGUAGGGGCAUGCGGAACUGAUGGUGGAGCGGUGAAAUGUGUUGAUAUCAGCAGGAACUCCGGUGGCGAAAGCGGCGUGCUGGACCUUUACUGACGCUGAUGCGCGAAAGCCAGGGGAGCGAACGGG
rnacentral:rRNA from 1 species